GACGUAGGGCGCGAGCGUUGUCCGGAUUUAUUGGGCGUAAAGCGCGCGUAGGCGGCCCGGUAAGUCCGCUGUGAAAGUCAAAGGCUCAACCUUUGAAUGUCAGCGGAUACUGCCGGGCUAGAGUCCGGAAGAGGCGAGUGGAACUCCUGGUGUAGCGGUGGAAUGCGCAGAUAUCAGGAAGAACACCAACGGCGAAGGCAGCUCGCUGGGACGGAACUGACGCUGGAGAACGCGAAAGCGUGGGGAGCGAACAGG
rnacentral:rRNA from 1 species